GCUCAGUGUGGGACACAGAGGAGGACCAUGGACACUUUUUGGAGACGCCAGGCCUGCUGACCACCAAAUCUCUCCAGGCUCCCAAUAGAGACAGCUCCCAGGCUCCACAGAGAGCUGCGGGAUCCUGAGAGAAAGCCAAAAUACAUGGCCAAAAAAAAUGCUAAGAAGGAAGCGACAGCCAGGAACUGGCAAGGAGACGCCGAAGAGGAGGGAACAUUCUCGCUGGCCAGUGAGGACGUCCUGAGGAAUAGAACCAUAAAGAGAGCCAAGCGGAGACAUGCCCGCCCCCAACCCAAUGGUAAGGGGACUUCCAAAGGGAUUAAAAGUUUGGCUGUGCCUUCCGGGAGAGGAGAAUUUAGAGGUGGCCCUGGAGAGAAGCCCCAGGAAGUACUGACAACCAGAAGGAACACAGCUAGGGCUGCAGCAGAGCCCAAGGCAGCCUUGGGUUCUGUUACUGCAAAUGAACCCCCCUCUUUGGAGCAUGAGCAGAUCUCAGAUGCCCAGACUAAUGUCCACAGUCAGCAGCCUGCCUCCCCGGGCCUCACUUUCAGUCAAGCCUGCGCUGGGAGUGUCUACCAUAGGCAGUUGACUGGCCUGAACUGCUCUGUCCGAGACUGGAUAGUGAAGCACGUGAACGCCAAUCCGUUCUGCGAUCUGACGCCGGUGUUUAAGCAGUAUGAGAAAUACUUGGCUGCCAUCGAAAAGCAACUCCACAGCAGCUGCGGCUGUCUCUCAGAAAGCGAGCCUAACCGGGGCUUUGUUGCUGUGACACAGCCUCCUUUCCUAGCUGUUGCCACUGAACUACAGCCAGAGUUGGUCACCUCUGAAAAGACCGAGUUUAUGUGUGAGAAGAAAGCCAACUCAGCACAAGGAGCAACGAGUACCUCCUGUAACUUUGGCAAAAACACUGAAACCCCGGCUUGGGGUUCCCUCAACUCUGGUCCCAUGCACCGAGUUUCAUCAGCCACCAGAAGCUCCAACGUAAGUGGGAAAGGCACCACCCGGAAGAAGCCAGCAUCUGCCAAAGCUCUAGAGAGUCCAGCACAAGGCAACAGUGAUGAAUGCAAGCUCCUUGUAGAAGAGGAGGAGGAGGAGGAGGAGGAGGAGGAGGAGGGGGAGGAGGAGGAAAGUGCUUUCUACUGCAAGAAGUGUAAACUAUUUUACAAGAAAGACAACGAAUUUAAAGAAAAAGGUGUUGGCACGCUGUAUUUAAAAUCCACAGCCAAUCAGAAGACGAAGCUCUUAGUGCGGGAUACUAAGUUAGGCAGCAUACUCCUGAAUAUUCUGAUCCCACCCGAUAUGCCAUGUUCCCGGAUGGGGAAAAAUAACGUCCUUAUCGUCUGUGUACCCGACCCACCGCUUGAUAAGAAGAACGCCACCAUCAAGGUCACCAUGCUAAUUCGGGUAAAAACAAGUAAGGAUGCGGAUGAACUGCACAAAAUUUUACUGCAGAAAACGGAUGCCUGAACACAUGGAAUCCACCCGGAAACUUGCCAAGUUCCUGCUCUUUUGCUCCGUCCCCAAACGUAAUUUUUCAUCCUUUUACUUCUGAUACCCUAAGCGCUUCCAAUAACAAAAAUGUUGUGAGCACAAUUAAGACCAACAAAAACUUCAGUGUUCAGUUGAGUGUGGAGAAAGGGUCCUCCCUUUUAAGAGCCACCUAACAUGCAAAAUACAUUUGAAUAAAAAGGUUUUGAAAUUUC